UUUGUUGGAAGCAUUUUUCUUUUGUUUUUGGACAUCAUGACGCAAGUUUUAGUGAAAUUGCUCUAUGAUGAUAAGUGGGAUGUUUAUCCGUUGAAGACGUUUGCUGGCGCAGCUACUGGUCUUCGGGUGAUGUUCGAGCCUGGCAGUUUUGAUGAGUUGCGCGGCAGAAUUUACGAUGGAAGGAAGCCGAACACAGCCGCAGUCUGACUUCUGCACACAGGCAAACCGCAUGCCCUGGAGCGAAAGCGCGCGAAGCUAGCGCUUGCUGCCGCCGCUGCUUCGAUUGAAAUGUUACACAUGCACCAAAUGCCCAGGUGCUAACGUGUCGUUCGUCAAGAACAGCUUGGCGUCGUUUCUCGCAAGAGACAUCCAUUGAUCUGCGGCUGAUUCACCAGGAAGCUCGCAUCUCUGUUGCCACUCUGCGUCAAGUGGGAUUUCUAACUAUCUUUUAUUCUGCCCUGUGGUGUACGCUGUGAAGCUGUGAAGACUUACUUUCAUGGACGCUGUGAAGGCUUACUUUCGAUGUGUUCUGCCUUUUAGUUGUAAAGAAUUGGCUACCUUGUGAGUGGAGGUAGUUCCUUUUUCUUGUGAGAAUGUUUAUCAGCCUAACCAAGUGGUACAUGCGUACUUGAAACAGCAGCACAGACGAGGAUAAUGAAAUAAGUAGGAACACAUACAAGCGCCGACUCAACUAGAAGUUUAUUCUUGAAGACAGGUUGUAAACACAUUGGAACUUGACAAAGAUAAGAAACCAUGUAUGCGUGGCCUUUGUGAUUAAACAAAAUUGUGUUUUCUGCUGUAAGGGGUAGAACGAACAAUUGUUUCAUCACAAAGACCAGAACACAAGAGAAAUUACGGAAGCCUUAUUUAUUGAUUGCAAAGAAGACAAAUGCAUAAGCUAUCUGUUGCUCUUAAUGGGAAAGAGUUGGGAUUUUUAAAAGAGCUCUCCUUGUUUGGUGGUAUCACUUAUAGGACAUCUUUCACAGUUUUUUUUUACCUGCAUAUUUAUACUACAAAACACGUCUUUCGUUCCUUUUUUUGUUUCACCGGGCUGUCUGCCACGCAUGCAUGGCUAUUUCUUUGUCAAGUUGGCCAGUGUGCUUAAUAUCUUUGUCGUCACGAACAAACUUCUAGUUGAGUCAGAAUUAUUGUGUGUUCCUACCUUAUUUCACCGUUCUCAUCUUUGUUUGAGCUGUUUGUAAAGUAUGUACACACACCAAAUUACCAAAGUAUCCGUAAAAUUGAGAUACAUGAAGUUAUUUGCACUAUUCAUUUCUGCAAGAAUGGUAUAGCUUCUCAUCUCGUUUGUUCUUAACGUUGUUGUACAGUUUUUGUAAUAUAUAGCUUGGAAAGACGUUUUCUGUCAGAUUAAAUAUGCAUGUAUGUCACUUUCGAUAUUUUUUUUCAACAUGGGUAGUGCAGCUG